AGUGAACGCUGGCGGUAGGCCUAACACAUGCAAGUCGAACGGCAGCACAGUAAGAGCUUGCUCUUACGGGUGGCGAGUGGCGGACGGGUGAGGAAUACAUCGGAAUCUACUUUUUCGUGGGGGAUAACGUAGGGAAACUUACGCUAAUACCGCAUACGACCUACAGGUGAAAGCAGGGGAUCUUCGGACCUUGCGCGAUUGAAUGAGCCGAUGUCGGAUUAGCUAGUUGGCGGGGUAAAGGCCCACCAAGGCGACGAUCCGUAGCUGGUCUGAGAGGAUGAUCGGCCACACUGGAACUGAGACACGGUCCAGACUCCUACGGGAGGCAGCAGUGGGGAAUAUUGGACAAUGGGCGCAAGCCUGAUCCAGCCAUACCGCGUGGGUGAAGAAGGCCUUCGGGUCGUAAAGCCCUUUUGUUGGGAAAGAAAAGCAGCAGGUUAAUACCCCGCUGUUCUGACGGUACCCAAAGAAUAAGCACCGGCUAACUUCGUG
rnacentral:rRNA from 1 species